rnacentral:rRNA from 1 species
UACGAAGGGGGCUAGCGUUGCUCGGAAUCACUGGGCGUAAAGCGCACGUAGGCGGACUCUUAAGUCAGGGGUGAAAUCCUGGAGCUCAACUCCAGAACUGCCUUUGAUACUGAGAGCCUUGAGUCCGGGAGAGGUGAGUGGAACUGCGAGUGUAGAGGUGAAAUUCGUAGAUAUUCGCAAGAACACCAGUGGCGAAGGCGGCUCACUGGCCCGGUACUGACGCUGAGGUGCGGAAGCGUGGGGAGCAAACAGG